UAUCUUCAAAUUUAACUAAGUACACACUGGGA
rnacentral:piRNA from 1 species